rnacentral:rRNA from 1 species
AGUGAACGCUGGCGGUAGGCCUAACACAUGCAAGUCGAACGGCAGCACAGUAAGAGCUUGCUCUUACGGGUGGCGAGUGGCGGACGGGUGAGGAAUACAUCGGAAUCUACUUUUUCGUGGGGGAUAACGUAGGGAAACUUACGCUAAUACCGCAUACGACCUACGGGUGAAAGCAGGGGAUCUUGGGACCUUGCGCGAUUGAAUGAGCCGAUGUCGGAUUAGCUAGUUGGCGGGGUAAAGGCCCACCAAGGCGACGAUCCGUAGCUGGUCUGAGAGGAUGAUCAGCCACACUGGAACUGAGACACGGUCCAGACUCCUACGGGAGGCAGCAGUGGGGAAUAUUGGACAAUGGGCGCAAGCCUGAUCCAGCCAUACCGCGUGAGUGAAGAAGGCCUUCGGGUUGUAAAGCCCUUUUGUUGGGAAAGAAAAGCAGCAGGUGAAUACCCCGCUGUUCUGACGGUACCCAAAGAAUAAGCACCGGCUAACUUCGUG